rnacentral:rRNA from 1 species
CUGCGAGUGAGCGGGAAAAGCUCAAAUUUAAAAUCUGGCGGUCUCCGGCCGUCCGAGUUGUAAUUUAGAGAAGCGUUAUCCGUGCUGGACCGUGUAUAAGUCUCCUGGAAUGGAGCGUCAUAGAGGGUGAGAAUCCCGUCUUUGACACGGACUACCAGUGCAUUGUGAUGCGCUCUCGACGAGUCGAGUUGUUUGGGAAUGCAGCUCAAAAUGGGUGGUAAAUGCCAUCUAAAGCUAAAUAUUGGCGAGAGACCGAUAGCGAACAAGUACCGUGAGGGAAAGAUGAAAAGAACUUUGGAAAGAGAGUUAAACAGUACGUGAAAUUGUCGAAAGGGAAACGGUUGCAGUCAGUCGCGUCCGCCGGGGAUCAACCUUGCUUUUGCUUGGCGUAUUUCCCGGUGGAUGGGUCAGCAUCAGUUUUGACCGCAGUUGAAAGGCUGGAGGAAUGUGGCACCUUCGGGUGUGUUAUAGCCUCCUGUCAUAUGCUGCGGUUGGGACUGAGGAACUCAGCACGCCGCAAGGCCGGGAUUCGUCCACGUUCGUGCUUAGGAUGCUGGCAUAUGUCUGUAACCGACC